AUAUAGUAUUUCAUGUACCUAUAUGAACUAAAACCCCAGUAAAUUCUAACUGUCCUUUUAUUUAGGGACAUAUUCUCAGAAAGAGGGGGAAAAAGGUGGUCUUAGCAGUAAUCUGCAGAGUCCCAGACUCCCUCUUUAGCCACAACCAGAAUUCACUGGUGUGAAUGAAGCUGUUGACUUCUCUGAAGAGGACUGGAAUAGAGGACAGGUUUCCAUCACAGAGGAGAAAGAACUUUUAUAAUGACAAAACAAUUAAGUUAAUUUUCACUAUUUGACUGAAAUAUGUUUUUUCUAAUU